rnacentral:lncRNA from 1 species
GCCGCGUAACUGACUGGCACACUGAGCGCGCUCACCGAUCUUGACUUGCUCGCGGUAGCUCUUUUCGUUGAGGCAAACCCCGCGGCCGUGCAGCAGGGCGUGCAGCGGCUUCUCCUCGUCCUGCCGGGGGAGGCAGCGCAGCCCCUGGGCGCAGCGCUCGGUGUAGACGCCGCACGACUGCCCCUCGGCCAGGGCGCAGGUCAUGCAGCAGCCGCAGCCCGGCUCCUUGACCAGCUCGCAGCCCAGGGGGCUGGGGGGGCACAUGGAGAGGGCUUUCUCGUCGCAGGGCUCGCAGUGCACGAAGGAGCCCAGGCUCUGGGCCGGCCCCGCAUAGGCGGCCAGCAGCAGGAGGACCGCGGGAGCGAGCCUCAGUGCUUUGAACGCCUCCUGCUCCAUCACAGUGACUGCUCAAGGCAGGACACCUGAUCCUAUCGGAAUCCACCCACGGAUGGGGCCUCCACGUGAAAAGUAACUACAAAACAGAACCAGAAAAUAGUCAUGCUGUUCAACCAGUCAGGAAAAUCUUGCUUCUCAAACUCCUGUCUUGACCCCUUCCUGAACUUUGCCUCCUGGAUCUUGAGGUCUGCCUUCUGUGGAAGAGAAAUACUAGAAUCAAUGAACUGUGAACUAGAGCCCUGGGAUUAUCAACAGCUGAAAUUUUGAGAGCCACCUUAUAGAAAGCCUAACAGCAAAGACUGGAGAGAGGCUUCCAGCCAACAGCCAGCAAGGAAUUGAAGCCCUCAGUCCAAUAGCAGUGAGGAAUUGAAUCCUGCCAACAGCCUCGUGGACCGACUGCUUCAUGCUGGGCUUCAGACAUGAGAGGCUAGGAGUAGGAGGCAUGCCUUGUUCAAAGGUCUUAAAUGUGGGAAAUAGUCUACAGUUUGGAAGACACCAGAGAAAAAUGCUCCACAGCUCGCCCUGGUGACUCACUACAACUUAUGGGAAGAUGUGAGAUUAUUCUGUAUUCUAAUGUAUGUUAGAAGGCACACUCCACCCAAAGCCUUCCUGUGUGUUCCUCCCUGUGAGCUCACAUCCCGUUCACCAGCUGACUGGGAAGGGAAGUCAGGACCAGCCCUGACCCCAUCACACCAUCAUAACCUCGGGAUGGCAGGGCUGGAAGGCACCUCAGACGUCAUCCUUUGCAGACUCUUCAUUUUACAGUGAGAGGCAUGACGUGUCCACAGCUGGUUAGUGCCAAAGCCUGGGACAGGCUUCACAUUGUCCAGCUCUUAGUCAGAGCACUGUUGACAAUGUCUGCCUUCACUUGGAAUUCAGCACCUGCUUUCAGUAUAAACCCCUGCAUUUCACUAAAACUGAGCAGACUGCUGGUUUAAAAAAGAGAGGUCCAUCCAGCAGGGAUGAUGCUUUUCCUCGUUGAAAGAGGACAUUCACCUAAUGGGAGACCUGGAGUCAGAAUCUUUCUGAUGUGUGACUUGGCACAGUAACACAAUGCAGGAUGCUGGUGUGUUAAUAAAAAUAAAAAUUGCAUCGCCUACCUCAGAGUCGACAACAAUGUCAAGGAGUUAAUAGUCUUGGCAACACAGAGGCCACUGGACAGAGGCAUAACCUUGCGUGGCAGCUGCACGGGAAUUGGAUUUGGCUCAGGUGUUUCAGAUGACUAAGUUGGGAGCAUUUGACAAUUUUAGAUGUGGGAUGAAAAUUGCCUUAUCUAAGACAUAGGGCACCUGCAGAAGUAAAGAGAAACAGAACAAAGGGGACCACUCUUGGUAUAGAAGUUCAUCUCGUCGGGAGCAUCUGUGGUUCUUUUAUAAGCAAUGUACAUUCUACAAUAGAGGCAGACCCAGAAAUAAUUCAGAUAUUGGAGUUAGAAGAUCAGGAUUCUAAAAAAACCAAAAGAUCCUGCCUUACUAUGCACCUAUGGCCCUUCAAAGGCGAGAGUAGAAUCUGCUAUGAUUUAGAAGCAAGCAAUAAAAAGUACACAUCAGUUACUGUGUGUUAGGAGUUCCAGCACGGUUUACCUGGAUCCUCUGCUCAGGCUCCAACCAGGCUGCAAACAAGGUGUUGGACAGGCUGCUUUCUCACCUGAAGACUGGACUAGGGAAGAAUCCACUUCCAAGCUCAUUCAAGUUGUUGGUCGAAUUCAUGUCCUCGAGUCUGCAUGAGUGAGGUCCCAGCUCUUACUGACUUUAAUCCUCAGGUCCUAGAGGUGGCUCCCACUUUCCUGCCACUUGGCACUAUCCACAGGGGCUUAACCAGGUGGCUGUUUGCUUCUUCAAGGCCAUCAGGAGAAUUUCUCUCCUGGUUUGCUAAGAUAGAGCCUUAUAUAAUAAAACAUAAUCACAAGAGUGACAUUUCAGCACCUUUACAUAACUACAUAACUUUACAUAACAUAAACCAACCUAAUCAAGGGAGUGUCCUUCCAACAACUUUGCCACACUGCGUUGGUUGCAAGUAAGUCACAAACCCACACUCAAGGGGAUUACACAAGAGUGGAUUAUUGGGGUCUCCUUAAAGCAUGUCCUCCACUAUCUACUUUGAAACUUCUUUACAAAGCUUUCAUUUUGAUGAUUUGUUUCAGAUGACUGAAGCCCACUCUCAUUAAAACUAUUUGGAAACUGCUGUCUAGUGACAUUAUAUUAAAGCCAAUCUGUUUAAACAAGAAAGAGCAGUGCUCCCACUUGGUAGGAGAUAAGACUCCUUACAGCCUCAGCUAUCAACAACAUGGCUUAUGCUAUUUCUUUAUGUACAUAUCUAUAUAUGUCCAGUGCAUGCCAAAUAAGGUCUGUAAGCGUUGAAACAUAAUAAUAAAAUGAACUCAGGUACCCUCAUUCCAAUUUAAGAGCUAAACCAUUAUGAACUCCAUUCUAUCUACCUAUGUAUUUCUUCUUAUGCCAUUCCCCUACCUCCCAGAGGUAACCAACCAUUCAGUUGCUAUAAUUCAUUUGCCUUUUUGAUAAUUUUGUGACACACAUAUUUAACAAUAAAGGAGUGGUGUGCUAUUGCUAACUUCUGAACUAUAAUAAUGGCAUCACAUACCGCAAAGUGUUCUGAGGUUAGCUUUUUCCACACAACGUUAUGUUUUUGAGAUUGAGCUCUGCUGCUUCUCCUAGCUGUAGAUCAAUCAUUUCCACUCGCACAAUUCCACUGUGCAAAGAUGACACAAAUAAGUAGACGUUUUUAUCAAUGGGCAUUUCAGUUCUUUUCAUUUUUCACUGCCAUGAAUACUGCUGCCGUGAACAUUGUCAUGCAUCUCCUAGUACUCAUAUGCAAGUAUUUUUUUUCUGGCGUAUGCACCUAAAAGUAAAAUCACUGAGUCUUAGGGUAUGCAAAUAUUCAACUUUACAAGGAAUGACAAAUUGUUUUCCAAAGCAAACUCUUAUCAGCAACUUAUGAGUUCCUUUAACCUAUUUUCUCCUCAACCAGACUUCUUCAUAUGGCCAAUUUAGAAGCUAUAAAAGGGUAUUUUAUUUUUAUCUUACUUUGUAUUUUUUGAAUAUUAGUAAGUCUAAACAUUUUAUGUGCUUAUUUUCCAUUUGUAUUUUCUCUUCUGUGAGAUGCUGGUUUAU